rnacentral:rRNA from 1 species
UACAGAGGGUGCGAGCGUUUAAUCGGGAUUACUGGGCGUAAAGCGCGCGUAGGCGGCUUUUCAAGUCGAUUGUGAAAUCCCCCGGGCUCAACCUGGGAACUGCAGUCGAGACUGUCUAGCUAGAGUAUGGGAGAGGGAAGUGGAAUUUCAGGUGUAGCGGUGAAAUGCGUAGAUAUCUGAAGGAACAUCAGUGGCGAAAGCGACUUCCUGGACCAAUACUGACGCUCAUGAUGCG